GCUUAACGGUAGAGCACGCUUUUGAUAAGGGCGUGGUUUCUGGUUCGAUUCCAGG
rnacentral:tRNA from 1 species